rnacentral:ncRNA from 1 species
UUAAAUACUUCGAUAGAGAGAAAGAUACUGGAUGUUCUUUACAGAGACCUGGGGCCGGUGCAAGCCAGGAAGAAAUAAGGUAUGUAAUAUUCACUCUGGAGUAGAAUUGUUGAAAAUGUAGACAAUUUCGGAAGCCACCGUUAUCUUAGGCUAUGGAUUAAUUUGAUCCUGAUAAGAGAUAGUAAUUUAUACUAUAAUUUAGGUGGUACCGCGAAUCUUUCGUCCUAUGG